rnacentral:sRNA from 1 species
UAUUAUUUGUUAAGAUUAUUUGCUAAGAGCCCACCAUUGUAGAUGCUCUAACAUACUAUUUCUCUUUAAUUUGCCAACUUAUUAAUGAAUCCAACAUUUAUAUCUCCUCACUAAUUCG